rnacentral:rRNA from 1 species
AACGCGAAGAACCUUACCAAGGCUUGACAUGAACCGGAAAGACCUGGAAACAGGUGCCCCGCUUGCGGUCGGUUUACAGGUGGUGCAUGGUUGUCGUCAGCUCGUGUCGUGAGAUGUUGGGUUAAGUCCCGCAACGAGCGCAACCCUCGUUCUAUGUUGCCAGCGCGUUAUGGCGGGGACUCAUAGGAGACUGCCGGGGUCAACUCGGAGGAAGGUGGGGACGACGUCAAAUCAUCAUGCCCCUUAUGUCUUGGGCUUCACGCAUGCUACAAUGGCCGGUACAAAGGGUUGCGAUACUGUGAGGUGGAGCUAAUCCCAAAAA